UGACCACUCAUGUUGAGAGAAGAAGUCUUGGCUCAGGCAAUCCGCCCGGGAGUUCCGGGCACCGACCCAGGGUGGUGCAUGUGGACAGGCGGAGCGCCACGUGAUCCUGCACCUACGACCGGGACCAGCCAGUCGUCAAGAUAGGGGACGAUCUGGACCUCACGAUGUCUGAGGAGGGGUCACACUCAGAGGCUUGCUGUGUGAAAGGGGUCACCCAUACAAUAGUUUGAGAACCACGGUGCAAGGAGUUCUGCGCCUCACUGGACAGCCCAGACAGCAGGAACCAUGACACCCUCCUCAUGAACACAGCGGAGGUCCAUAGACCUUGCAGCCUUAUCUGCGGCAUCCGACGCUGCCUGCAGGGUUGCCCUGGCAGCUGCUGUACCCUCCUCAACCAGAGCUUUGAACUCCUUCUUGUUACACUUCUGGAGGGAGUCCUCAAAUUUGAGUAGAGAGCCCCACAAAUUGAACUCAU